UGGGGAAUUUUGGACAAUGGGCGAAAGCCUGAUCCAGCAAUGCCGCGUGUGUGAAGAAGGCCUUCGGGUUGUAAAGCACUUUUGUCCGGAAAGAAAUCCUUGGCUCUAAUACAGUCGGGGGAUGACGGUACCGGAAGAAUAAGCACCGGCUAACUACGUGCCAGCAGCCGCGGUAAUACGUAGGGUGCAAGCGUUAAUCGGAAUUACUGGGCGUAAAGCGUGCGCAGGCGGUUUGCUAAGACCGAUGUGAAAUCCCCGGGCUCAACCUGGGAACUGCAUUGGUGACUGGCAGGCUAGAGUAUGGCAGAGGGGGGUAGAAUUCCACGUGUAGCAGUGAAAUGCGUAGAGAUGUGGAGGAAUACCGAUGGCGAAGGCAGCCCCCUGGGCCAAUACUGACGCUCAUGCACGAAAGCGUGGGGAGCAAACAGGAUUAGAUACCCUGGUAGUCCACGCCCUAAACGAUGUCAACUAGUUGUUGGGGGAUUCAUUUCCUUAGUAACGUAGCUAACGCGUGAAGUUGACCGCCUGGGGAUACGGUCGCAAGAUUAAAACUCAAAGGAAUU
rnacentral:rRNA from 1 species